GAUGAACGCUGGCGGCGUGCCUAACACAUGCCAGUCGAACGAAGCACCUUACCUGAUUCUUCGGAUGAAAGUUUGGUGACUGAGUGGCGGACGGGUGAGUAACGCGUGGGUAACCUGCCCUGUACAGGGGGAUAACAGCUGGAAACGGCUGCUAAUACCGCAUAAGCGCACGAGGAGACAUCUCCUUGUGUGAAAAACUCCGGUGGUACAGGAUGGGCCCGCGUCUGAUUAGCUGGUUGGCAGGGUAACGGCCUACCAAGGCAACGAUCAGUAGCCGGUCUGAGAGGAUGAACGGCCACAUUGGAACUGAGACACGGUCCAAACUCCUACGGGAGGCAGCAGUGGGGAAUAUUGCACAAUGGGGGAAACCCUGAUGCAGCAACGCCGCGUGAGUGAAGAAGUAUUUCGGUAUGUAAAGCUCUAUCAGCAGGGAAGAUAAUGACGGUACCUGACUAAGAAGCGCCGGCUAAAUACGUG
rnacentral:rRNA from 1 species